rnacentral:rRNA from 1 species
AUUGAACGCUGGCGGCAUGCCUUACACAUGCAAGUCGAACGGCAGCACGGGUGCUUGCACCUGGUGGCGAGUGGCGAACGGGUGAGUAAUACAUCGGAACGUACCUUAUCGUGGGGGAUAACGCAGCGAAAGCUGUGCUAAUACCGCAUACGCCCUGAGGGGGAAAGCGGGGGAUCGCAAGACCUCGCGCGAUUAGAGCGGCCGAUGCCUGAUGAGCUUGUAGGUGGGGUAAAAGCCCACCAAGGCGACGAUCAGUAGCUGGGCUGAGAGGACGAUCAGCCACACUGGGACUGAGACACGGCCCAGACUCCUACGGGAGGCAGCAGUGGGGAAUUUUGGACAAUGGGGGCAACCCUGAUCCAGCAAUGCCGCGUGAGUGAAGAAGGCCUUCGGGUUGUAAAGCUCUUUUGUCAGGGAAGAAACACCGGCUCUAACACAGUCCGGGAAUGACGGUACCUGAAGAAUAAGCACCGGCUAACUACGUGCCAGCAGCCGCAGUAA